GUACAGAAGACUUGUGCUGAAAGAAGUCAAGUAUAAGUUAUACAUAUGUACGAUGUGUAGAUAUGAUAUGUGUAUUAAUCUAACUUUUUUGUUUUACUGGAAAAUCUACAACUCAGAGAAUUGUCUGUUUCCAAAGCUGCCGGAUAAGUGAUGUUUCGUUUCUUCUUUUCCCUUUAGCUGCGUUCAAAUCUUCAACAAGAAUUGCGUGAAAGACAGAGAAAUAGGAAAUCCUUGGACCAUCUGCCACAUUUAGAAGAUCUACAAACUCUACCGACUGCUCCUGAUGAGAUUCUGGAAACUUUUACAAACACUAUAUCAGAAAACUCAGGAACUCUGGCUCUGGAUAUUAUUCACGCGUUCUUUGUCCCAGAGAAAUUUAAUUCAUCGUGAUUUCACAUUAUUCGGGACAUCUGCAAAAUCGAUGUCUCUGCUAUCUAUACUAUAAUGGAGAAAGCUGCUUAUUAAUUAGAGCCAACACAGUUUCUCUGACAAUCAUUAAAAUACUCGACAUAUCACGGAAGUCUACUAAGUUCCAACUGAGACUGAUCGAAAUAUUUUGCAGGGAAAGCCAUUCAAAAGCAAGAAAAAAAAUCAAUAAAUUAAGCAGGCAAGCUAUCUUGACAGAAGUUUAAUGAAUGUUGACAGCAGUCCUGAAGAAAGAGGUUGACGAAGAGGACAUUAUCGCUAUUUCAAAAUUAUAAAUUUGCUAAAUGCAGCAUACAGAUUGAUGAACCAAUAAUUCAUCGCCUAACAAAAAGGAAUCUACUUGCAUAGAAAAUCAAUUGUAAAUAUUUCAAGAUGCUAAAACGGUGAAGUGGCAGAAUCUUAGCGGCAUUCCGUCCGUCUUUAUGCUUACUUUCGGAGUCGAUAAAAUAAGUACCAGUUCAGUACGAGGGUCGAUGUAGUACACUUACUUCAUCCCCCGAAAUUGUUGGCCUUGUGCCAAAAAUUUGAACCCAAUACUUUAGGAUGCUAUGGUGGCGAGCUGGCAAAACAGGGUGUCUGAAAUCACUUUUGCGUUCUUGAGGAGAGUAUUCGGAACUAUUAUGAUAUUCAAGUAUGAAUUAGAAGCAGCACUAGUUUAAUAAACAUUGUUGACCACAUAUACUUAACGUAUAUGUUUGUGUAUUUGCUUUUAGGCCUGUCCAUUACUCACAUUCGUUUUAACACCUGGUGCUCUGAGAGAGUAAUCUCCGCCACGCCAAAUCUUAUCCUAUCGGCAAAUACACAAACCAUACACGUUAAAUAUAUGUUCUCGCUAAUGGUUACUAUGACAUUAUUUAUUUCAGUAUAUUUUUAAAACUAGUCUUAAAAGGCUAUUUAAUGGUAGAGGCGCAUUUUUAUUUUGAUCAGCCAACCAAAUACAAAAUAAUCGAAUUCAGGAAAACUACGGAAAGUUUUAACAUAUAUAACAAAAACAUUUGACUAUUCUUUAUCUGUACAUAUUUCUUUGCAGUUUCUUUUUGCCUAGGCGGGUUUAUAUACUUUCUUCAGUUUGUCAUGGCUUACCAGCUUUACAUGGACACAUGAAUUGAUGGCGGCGGCGACGGCGACGGUGACGGCGGCAGCAGUGGCGGCAGCGGUGGCGGCAGCGGUGGCGGCAGCGGUGGCGGCAGCGGUGGCGGCAGCGGUGGCGGCAGCGGUGGCGGCAGCGGUGGCGGUAGUGAAGAUGAUGAUGAUGAUGAUGAUGAUGAUGAUGAUGAUGAUUAUGAUGAUGAUGAUGAUGAUGACGACGAUGAUGACGACGACGACGACGAUGAAGUAUAUGAUGAUGAUAAUAGUAAAUAUUGGAUGAAAACUUAGGAAGGUGAUUUCCAAAGUUACUUGAAGCACCUUGGAAUUAUUCAUCUCGACAAGUAUCUAUUUCGUCCAACAAGGUAUGAGACUGCUGCUAUGCUGAGAUUUAUUUGUAAGUCUGAUUACGUAUUAUGUCGGUUUCUUAUAACGAACUGCAAACAUAUAAGGACAUACACGUAAUUUUGUCAGUGAACAGGUCGCGGUCUCAAAGCGACGAAAAUAUUUUGGCAAAUUAAAUUUAAAUGUUGAAGUGAA